UAAAACAUUUGAAUGCUGCGCAGAUGUUCACACUUCACAUUUAUUUUUCUGUCUACGUUGUUCUGGACAGAAACAGGAACCCAGUUUGAUGAUAAUAACACAGCUUCUGAAUUAGGAAUGAAGUGAAUUAAAGGGAAAGAGAGAAAGACAGAGAGACAGGAAGCUGAUAGACAUUAUAAAAAGAUCUCCAGCAGGCGAGAGGAAAGAGGUGAUGCUGUUGCCAUGGCGACGCUGAGCUGCUACCCAGGAAGGGAGUGCAUCGCUGUUUUCUGCACUCGCAGGUUAAAAACUUGCCACUCUCUGUCUCUGGCUGAUUGACGUCUGCAACAACAACUUUCUACAAAGAGUCCAUCCCAGUUCACCGUGACUGUCUCCGUGUUUUGAGUCAAUCCAGAAGAGUGCUGCAGUGAUUUACAGCUGCACUUCCAUUAAAGUUUGGGGACUCAGCAGCAGCAGCU